rnacentral:rRNA from 1 species
AGUGAACGCUGGCGGCGUGCCUAAUACAUGCAAGUCGAACGAAGUGGCGCACGGAUGAGUAAUAUAUAGUUAAUCUGCCCUCCACAGAGGAACAACAGAUGGAAACGACUGCUAAUACCUCAUAGUGUAGGAUGAGACUAUAUCGUAUCAGCUAGGUGGUAAGGUAAUGGCUUAUCAAGGCUAUGACGCGUAACUGGUCUGAGAGGAUGAUCAGUCACAUUGGAACUGAGACACAGUCCAGACUCCUACGGGAGGCAGCAGUAAGGAAUAUUGCGCAAUGGGGGAAACGCUGACGCAGCAACGCCGCGUGGAGGAUGACACUUGUCGGAGCGUAAACUCCUGUUAUCAGGAAAGCGUUACCAACAGAAUAAGCACCGGCUAACUUCGUGCCAGCAGCCGCGGUAAUAC